GGCAGCCUCCCUCCUCUCUUGUUUUGGCUUUCCACUCUCGAGCUAGGUUUGCCGCCGCCGCCGUUGCCGCCCCAUCGCUCCUCCGGCGCUGGCCAUCGAAGGAAGGUCAUCUUCUCCUCUUGGUGGCUUCCUCAUAGCAAGAUUGGGCGCUACUCCUCCGCACAGCCCCGUCGGCAAUAGCGAGAAGGCAGGCGGCGCCGCGAGCUCUUGUCCCGAGGAAACCGCAGGAGGACGAGGUUGAUGCGGUCGUCUGCGCCUCCUCCGACGGCGAGGCCAGCCUCCUUUUCACCUCUGCUAGACCCGCAGCUAUCCAUCUUCCAUUGCUCUUUGUUCCUAUUGGAUGGUGGCGCCCUAGGAGUGGAUGAUUGAAUUUAGUCCUACUGUCAUGUGUGAGGGUGAUGUAAAAGGAUGAACUAAUAACUGGAUCUUCAGUAGGAUCGCUCAACAGAUGGUUUCACAGGCUGGUAUAACCGGAUGUGAGAAGAUAGUUGAGAAUCUUCUGUUUGCAGUUAGCACACACACAAAUUCUCCCUGCUACAUCUGAGAAUUCUUAUGCAUGUGACUUAUGAGAUGCGCUUGCAUGUGAAGGACAUAGGCUACCAUUCAAUACCCAACCAAUGCACUUGUCCAUUGUCUUGCUCUUAUUAGGUAGUCGCUUCAAUGAAAGUAUAUCUUGCGCUUGUUCAUUUUCCUAUCCAUUUCAAUAGAUAGUUUGCAUUAUCUAUUUUUUUCUGGGAGUUGAGCAAAGAAUUAGUUAUCUUUCCCUUAUGCUGUCAAUCUGAAGUAUUUCUUGCUAUGUCACUUCAAAUUAAGAACCCUGCAAAGCUAGAUGUUUCACUGUCAGCCCUGAAUCCCAUGACCACACUACCGGGUCAUAAGGCAAUGGUGAACUGCACGCUGUGGCUUCCAACCAAGAAGGCUGCACUCCAGGGAGACGCACUAUCUAUUGUCCGGAAGUUCUGAUGGUGCUAUUAUGGCGUGGAAGAUUGGUUCUGGAAUAGGCAAGCUCCUGGGUACAUGGACUCCCUACAAAAAAAGCUUGGAUCCACUAUGGAUCAUUUGCUGCCUUGGAGUGACCAUGGCCAAGAAGACGUUCGUACCUGUUCCCCGGUGUUGUCCGGCGGGUCAGUGCUUGCGCGCUCUUCAACGCCUUCAUUUUUGUUGUCUCCAAUGAUCUUUCGCUACACGCUCUGCCACUAGCACAUCCCCUGUAGUAAGGUAACUAACUACUACCAUCCGUGCUUGUGCUUGUACCAAUUCUGAAUUAUUUCAGUCCAGUUUGAGGCCAGCCGCAGCCACGACAUUGACGGCAUCCAUCGAUCCUGGAUCCUUCGACAUCUGGAUAGACCGUUGCUCCCUAAUCGACUACGACGAUGGGCUCAUCAAUAUCACCUGCCACAGUAUCGAAAUCACCGCCUCCAUGUCAUUCUGUUGUUUGUCCCUGCUACCAAGUCACUCAAUGCUUGGUUUCUCUCAACAAAUUUCACUCAUUACAUUGGAUAUUGUGCUGUACUGGUGAAAAUAAUUGUGUGUGUAUGUGAUUGAAUUUUUUUAUGAUUGAUGUUAUGAUGGUUAAUCACAUUGUACACUUGGGCGAUCAAACUAAUAUCCAUAUAUCUUGCAUCAAUAUUGUAGUUAUUGAUGACAUAGCUUAUGAGGAAAGACCAUGGUAAAUGAAGAGACAACGUUACACUGGCUUCUAUCUCUGUGAGGUCAGUAGCAAUAUGGUCAUUUGAUGCAACAAACCAGAGGAACAAGUCCAGGUUCAUCAAUCAUAGUUGUGAACCAAACACGAAGAUGCAGAAAUGUAGAUGGAUAGACCAGAGUUAAUUUCUCAAGCAAGUGGAGGUCCAGUGGCAUGAGGGAUCACUACACAAGCUAAGUGAGGUACUCCAGUAGCUGGACGAAAUGGUUUACCUAAAAAAAGUUGCACGAAUUUUCCUAAAAAAAGUAGCCGCACGAAUCAUGAUGUGAAAAAGCAUCUAAUGACCGAUACGGAGAAUGAUGCCAAACUUGAAACUCAGCCAGACCGCUUUAAGAAUCGUGAGAGGCCACCUCGAGGAGAGUGUGGUGGGAUCGGAUGAGGGUGCCUGAGGUGUCGUGCACCUUGCCGAGGUAGACAAAGGCGAAGCGACCAUCGCCGAUCUAAGGCCACAUCAGUGCCACCGUUCUCUACGCCGUACAUGAAGCAUGUUGUGAGGCGUCGUCCGGCUGGGGUCGCCUCUCCCACUUCGCUCCGAUGUCGAUGCCUGACCUUAGAUCACUAGGAGCUCACUCCCUCCUCGAUCCCUCCUCUUCUUUGUCGCGUUGCCAUCGGGUCUCCCCUCCCUGCCAUUGAACUCCGGUCUAGGGCUGGGAUAGGAGCUCCUCGAUGAGCGGGGUAGGACUCUGGGAGUGGCCGCUCUGACGAGAUGGGAAGGACGGGGGAGAGGCGAUGGCUGCGCACGGGUGUAGAGUGGGGAGGAGGAGAGACGUGCGGCUCAGAAUGGGGAUUGGUGGCCAGGUACCCAUGAACCCACCCACCAUGGUAUUGCCAUGUCACUCGUAGCCAA